AUACGGAGGGUGCAAGCGUUGUCCGGAAUCAUUGGGUGUAAAGGGUGCGUAGGCGGAAGCCUAAGUCGGGGGUGAAAUCCUGCCGCUCAACGGCAGAAUGGCCUUCGAUACUGGGUUUCUUGAGUCCGGAAGAGGUUGGUGGAAUUCGUGGUGUAGCGGUGAAAUGCAUAGAUAUCACGAAGAACACCGGUGGCGAAGGCGGCCAACUGGUCCGGUACUGACGCUGAGGCACGAGAGCGUGGGGAGCGAACAGGAUUAGAUACCCUGGUAGUCCACGCCGUAAACGAUGUAUGCUAGAUGUUGGCCCUUCGGGGUCAGUGUCGCAGUUAACGCAGUAAGCAUACCACCUGGGGAGUACGUUCGCAAGAAUGAA
rnacentral:rRNA from 1 species